AUAAAUUAUUUCCACCAUGGCGGAUUUCUGUGUGCUUGGAAUGAAACUGCUGUAUCACAUUUACACAAAUAUUUUAUAGAUUUCGAAAGCAAGUAACCUACAAAACAACAAAACGUGCCACAGAAAGAUUGUACUAUUUUUAAAGCUGGGACAUUUUUUCUAUUUCUUGCUGGCGUGAUAAAAAUCGUACAAGUUUUAUAUCUGGACAUCUUUAGUUCAUGAGUGUAUUUGGGCUUCCGCUUUGAGGGUUGACCCUCGAUCAUUGACCGACUUUUUCUUGUUUGCAUUGGAUAUCAGUCUGAAACAAGACAGGUGAUACACGAUGAGUGCCGGACGAAGAAGAAGCGGGAACAACACAGCUGGCACUUCCACAGAAGACCAAGCUUUGAACCAGAUUGCUUCAGAGGUACUGUGUUAUGAUAUGCUUUGAAUACUUUGCCGAGUACUUUACAAAAUUUUGGCUUUCUGUGUGCAAACAAUAAACCCUAUGUACAAGCAUGUGUUGUGUGAAAGACAGUCAAUAAUUAAGACCUCUAGAAAUGGACAUUUUUCUGUUUUAAGAAGAUGCCAGCUUUAUAGUCUCGCUCGUGUUUACCGCAAAAGAAUUCGGGAACAAUUUCUCAAACAUGCGAUUUGCGAGUAUUUUGCUG